GACGAACGCUGGCGGCGUGCCUAAUACAUGCAAGUCGAGCGAGUCUGCCUUGAAGAUCGGAGUGCUUGCACUCUGUGAAACAAGAUACAGGCUAGCGGCGGACGGGUGAGUAACACGUGGGUAACCUGCCCAAGAGAUCGGGAUAACACCUGGAAACAGAUGCUAAUACCGGAUAACAACAGAUGAUGCCUAUCAACUGUUUAAAAGAUGGUUCUGCUAUCACUCUUGGAUGGACCUGCGGUGCAUUAGCUAGUUGGUAGGGUAACGGCCUACCAAGGCGACGAUGCAUAGCCGAGUUGAGAGACUGAUCGGCCACAUUGGGACUGAGACACGGCCCAAACUCCUACGGGAGGCAGCAGUAGGGAAUCUUCCACAAUGGACGCAAGUCUGAUGGAGCAACGCCGCGUGAGUGAAGAAGGGUUUCGGCUCGUAAAGCUCUGUUGUUGGUGAAGAAGGACAGGGGUAGUAACUGACCUUUGUUUGACGGUAAUCAAUGAGAAAGUCACGGCUAACUACGUG
rnacentral:rRNA from 1 species